UACAGAGGGUGCAAGCGUUAAUCGGAAUUACUGGGCGUAAAGCGCGCGUAGGUGGUUCGUUAAGUUGGAUGUGAAAGCCCCGGGCUCAACCUGGGAACUGCAUUCAAAACUGACGAGCUAGAGUAUGGUAGAGGGUGGUGGAAUUUCCUGUGUAGCGGUGAAAUGCGUAGAUAUAGGAAAGAACACCAGUGGCGAAGGCGACCACCUGGACUGAUACUGACACUGAGGUGCGAAAGCGUGGGGAGCAAACAGGA
rnacentral:rRNA from 1 species